UACGGGGGGAGCAAGCGUUGUUCGGAUUUACUGGGCGUAAAGGGCGCGUAGGCGGCCACCGCAAGUCGACUGUGAAAUCUCCGGGCUUAACCCGGAAAGGUCAGCCGAUACUGCGGGGCUAGAGUGCAGAAGGGGCAACUGGAAUUCUCGGUGUAGCGGUGAAAUGCGUAGAUAUCGAGAGGAACACCGGUGGCGAAGGCGGCAUCCUGGACCAACACUGACACUGAGGAGCGAAAGCCAGGGGAGCAAACGGG
rnacentral:rRNA from 1 species